GACGAACGCUGGCGGCGUGCUUAACACAUGCAAGUCGAACGAAGAGCGAUGGAAGCUUGCUUCUAUCAAUCUUAGUGGCGAACGGGUGAGUAACGCGUAAUCAACCUGCCCUUCAGAGGGGGACAACAGUUGGAAACGACCGCUAAUACCGCAUACGAUCUAACCUCGGCAUCGAGGAUAGAUGAAAGGUGGCCUCUACAUGUAAGCUAUCACUGAAGGAGGGGAUUGCGUCUGAUUAGCUAGUUGGAGGGGUAACGGCCCACCAAGGCGAUGAUCAGUAGCCGGUCUGAGAGGAUGAACGGCCACAUUGGGACUGAGACACGGCCCAGACUCCUACGGGAGGCAGCAGUGGGGAAUCUUCCGCAAUGGACGAAAGUCUGACGGAGCAACGCCGCGUGAGUGAUGACGGCCUUCGGGUUGUAAAGCUCUGUUAAUCGGGACGAAAGGCCUUCUUGCGAAUAGUUAGAAGGAUUGACGGUACCGGAAUAGAAAGCCACGGCUAACUACGUG
rnacentral:rRNA from 1 species